CAAAAUGAAAUAUAAAGUUUAUCUCUCAAAUCUGAAAUAGAGCUGAUUCCUUCUCUGUCCUCACACACUCGGGAUCUGAAGUUGUUCAGUCCUACAGUUCUGCCGACAGCUGACAUAUGAGCUGUUUAUUUUUUAUUUGUUUGAAAGGCCUUAUAUACUAACACAUUUUCUAAUAUCAUGUUUACCUUUGAGUUGUUGAUGCUUUAUAAAUGGACAUCUGCAAAGAUGAGAUGAUGGAGCAGGUUUCAGUCGAGGUUCAGUCUGCUGCUGCGUCCUGGUCACAACAUACGGAGGUGUUAUCAGCAGUGGUAUUGAACAAGAAAUAUUAAUGCUUCAAAUUAUUUGUCCUAAAGGAUGCAAGCUGUACAGAGUACUGCACAUGUGACUUUGUGAACACAACUCAUUAAAAAUAAUUCGGACAGUUUUUUAACCUGAAUAUUUGUAACAAACUCAGUAAAAAAAAAAAAAAAAAUGCUAAAAAAAUAAUCAGAGGAAAAAUGUAACAUUUUAACUUAAGCUGACAAGCGGAAGUAGUUGGUUUUAGUACAUAAGUAUCGGGCUUUGCUAUUUAAUCCGUAGCUAUUGACUGAUGAGGGGUUACUGAAGUGCCAGGUUUUUAAAAGUUGGCGUUAAUGUCCUUCCACAUGUGGAAAGCGACAGAAAACAUGCUGCUGUUUGCACAUAUUUAAUAAUCAGCUCUGCACAGGAGCAGAAGCAGAGUCCAGCCUGUUGCUCUUACAGUAUAAUACCCAUAAUAAAAUUACAGUAACCGUG